rnacentral:rRNA from 1 species
CCGGUUGUCACGCCAGUGGCAGCGCCGGGUAGCCAUGGCCGGUUCGGAUAAGCGCUGAAAGCAUCUAAGUGCGAAGCCGACUCCAAGAUUAGGUCUCCCACCGGGUUAACCGGGUAAGGGCCCUGGUAGACAACCAGGUUGAUAGGCCGCAGGUGUAAGAGGAGCAAUCCUUUGAGCUGAGCGGUACUAAGAGCCCGAGGGCUUGUUCACCUAUAACUCACUCU